UGUUUCCCAAGUCACAGUGGCAGCCGUAUAGAAAAUUGGCCACAAAAUUUACUCCAGGAAGCAAAAAUCAACCCCGACCUCUCCAACUCUGGUGGUUCACACUUCACUAAAGUACAAUAAUCAUAAAGUAAUACUAUUACAACCCUCCAAAGAAAGUGUUAGCUUCAUCUGUAUUUAUUUGCCAUAUUAAUUUUAAUUGUGGCUCCUGCAUAAUUUUUGUGUUCGAUUUUGGAGAGACUGACCAACAAAAAGAUUAGAGUAAUAAUGACACAAGCAAUUCGACUACCAAUUAUCGACCUUACUUCCCCUGAUCGUACUUCCACUGCUCGUGCAAUUCGUCAGGCAUGUGUAGAUGUUGGUUUCUUUUACCUUAUAAAUCAUGGGGUAGAAGAAAAGUUUUUUAACAAAGUGCUUCAACAGAGCAAAAAAUUUUUCUCAUUGCCUCUUGAUGAGAAGAUGAAAGUGGUAAGGAGGAACCAUAGAGGUUAUACUCCCCUUUAUGCUGAGAAACUUGAUCCUUCCUCUACUACCCAAGGUGACUCAAAAGAAAGCUUCUACAUUGGUUCUCCAGAAGACAAGAGUGUUGCUAGUAACUUGAAUCAGUGGCCUGCAGAAGAAGUUCUGCCAUGUUGGAGAUCAACCAUGGAGGAUUACCAUACAAGAGUCUUGGAUGCUGGAGUAAGACUAAUUUCACUGAUUGCUUUGGCAUUGGAGUUGGACGAGGACUUCUUUCAAAAAACUGGGGCAUGUAAUCCACCAAAUGGAGUGCUUCGUCUAUUACAUUAUCCAGGCGAGUUGCAAUUAUCUGAACAAGUGGUGUAUGGUGCUUCUGCUCAUUCAGACUAUGGGAUGUUAACUCUUCUAGCUACAGAUGGUGUUGGUGGACUUCAGGUUUGCCGGGAGAAAUUCAAGCGACCUCAGAUAUGGGAAGAUGUGCAUCAUCUCAGUGGGGCUUUCAUAGUUAACAUUGGAGAUAUGAUGGAGAGGUGGACAAACUGCUUAUUUCGGUCAACAUUGCAUAGAGUUAUGCUUACGGGGCAAGAACGUUAUUCGAUGGCUUUCUUUUUGGGUCCAAACCCAGAUUGUGUGGUGGAAUGCUUGAAGAGCUGCUGUAGUGAUUCAUCUCCUCCAAGUCUUUUCCAAAGUUUGGGCUUUCCCUUAUGGCCUACUUGAUGCAAAUGAAUGAUCCCAAAACAGAAAGAUUUCCUCCAAUUCGCGCGGGAGACUACUUGGAAGGGCGCUUGAAAUUUACAUAUGCUUCAUAGUAAAGAAGACGAGGAAGAUCAACUUUAAUGGAGAGAAGAGAAGAAGCAGUUAUGGAAAUGAGAUAUUUUUAUUUCUCUGAUAAAUAUUACACAUGUAAUGCUUAUAUCUAGAGCUGACUAACUAACACUACUAAUUGACUAAUUAAUGCUCUAACUAACAAUGUACAAGCUCUAACUACUAACUAACAAUGUACAAUCAUCUAAUGCCUAGCUAUCUACAGUUUCUACACACACACCCCACCCCCCUCAUGUUGGGAGGUGGAACAAGUUAACCAUGCCCACUUGUGAAGUAGAUAGUCAUCUUGCUGCUUCUCCAGGCCUUUGUCAAGAUGUGUCUAAGGUUUUUUAUUUUUUUCCAAUAUGUUUUGCCUUGAUAAGUUCUUGUAUCUUUUCUCUAAUAAAGUGGCAAUCAAUUUCUAUAUGUUUUG